AUCGGCAUCUAUACAUGCAAGUCGAGCGGACAGAAGGGAGCUUGCUCCCGGAUGUUAGCGGCGGACGGGUGAGUAACACGUGGGUAACCUGCCUGUAAGACUGGGAUAACUCCGGGAAACCGGAGCUAAUACCGGAUAGUUCCUUGAACCGCAUGGUUCAAGGAUGAAAGACGGUUUCGGCUGUCACUUACAGAUGGACCCGCGGCGCAUUAGCUAGUUGGUGGGGUAAUGGCUCACCGAGGCGACGAUGCGUAGCCGACCUGAGAGGGUGAUCGGCCACACUGGGACUGAGACACGGCCCAGACUCCUACGGGAGGCAGCAGUAGGGAAUCUUCCGCAAUGGACGAAAGUCUGACGGAGCAACGCCGCGUGAGUGAUGAAGGUUUUCGGAUCGUAAAGCUCUGUUGUUAGGGAAGAACAAGUGCGAGAGUAACUGCUCGCACCUUGACGGUACCUAACCAGAAAGCCACGGCUAACUACGUGCCAGCAGCCGCGGUAAUACGUAGGUGGCAAGCGUUGUCCGGAAUUAUUGGGCGUAAAGGGCUCGCAGGCGGUUUCUUAAGUCUGAUGUGAAAGCCCCCGGCUCAACCGGGGAGGGUCAUUGGAAACUGGGAAACUUGAGUGCAGAAGAGGAGAGUGGAAUUCCACGUGUAGCGGUGAAAUGCGUAGAGAUGUGGAGGAACACCAGUGGCGAAUGCGACUCUCUGGUCUGUAACUGACGCUGAGGAGCGAAAGCGUGGGAGCGAACAGGAUUAGAUACCCUGGUAGUCCACGCCGUAAACGAUGAGUGCUAAGUGWUAUGGGGUUUCCCCCCUUAAUGCUGCGCUAACGCAUUAGAACUCGCCGUGAUAGUCGCUUGACUGAACUCAUAGAAUAGAAGAGUCCGGACAAUGUAACUGUGGUUUAUCAAGAUU
rnacentral:rRNA from 1 species